AACAAAUCAAUGACGAACUCGACUUUCCGGUCCGGUGGCAAUCCCGGUAACUCCGCCGAAAACACAUCCGGAUACUCGCAUACCACCCGAAUACCUUCAAGUUCCGGGUACUCCUUUAGGGCAUCUACGAUGGUCGCCAAAUAAGCCUUACAACCACCCUUAAUCAUUUUCCUCGCUCUCGCCGCCAACACGGUCGCCGCAAAGCGCCUACUUUUACAAGCCCGAUACACCAAUUCUUCUUGAUUA
rnacentral:lncRNA from 1 species